rnacentral:rRNA from 1 species
GGUUGCGAUCAUACCAGCACUAAUGCACCAGAUCCCAUCAGAACUCCGCAGCUAAGCAUGCUUGGGCGAGAGUAGUAUUAGGAUGGGUGAGCCCCUGGGAAGUCCUCGUGUUACAAUCC